GACGAACGCUGGCGGCGUGCUUAACACAUGCAAGUCGAACGGAAAGGCCCUGCUUUUGUGGGGUGCUCGAGUGGCGAACGGGUGAGUAACACGUGAGUAACCUGCCCUUGACUUUGGGAUAACUUCAGGAAACUGGGGCUAAUACCGGAUAGGAGCUCCUGCUGCAUGGUGGGGGUUGGAAAGUUUCGGCGGUUGGGGAUGGACUCGCGGCUUAUCAGCUUGUUGGUGGGGUAGUGGCUUACCAAGGCUUUGACGGGUAGCCGGCCUGAGAGGGUGACCGGCCACAUUGGAACUGAGAUACGGCCCAGACUCCUACGGGAGGCAGCAGUGGGGAAUAUUGCACAAUGGGCGGAAGCCUGAUGCAGCAACGCCGCGUGCGGGAUGACGGCCUUCGGGUUGUAAACCGCUUUCGCCUGUGACGAAGCGUGAGUGACAGUAAUGGGUAAAGAAGCACCGGCUAACUACGUG
rnacentral:rRNA from 1 species